rnacentral:rRNA from 1 species
CAGCCGCCGCGGUAAUACGAAGGUCCCGAGCGUUGUUCGGAAUCACUGGGCGUAAAGGGAGCGUAGGCGGCGUGGUAAGUCAGAUGUGAAAUCCCGGGGCUCAACCCCGGAACUGCAUCCGAUACUGCCAUGCUAGAGGAUUGGAGAGGUAGCUGGAAUUCUUGGUGUAGCAGUGAAAUGCGUGGAGAUCAAGAGGAACACUCGUGGCGAAAGCGAGCUACUGGACAAUAACUGACGCUGAGGCUCGAAGGCCAGGGUAGCGAAAGGGAUUAGAGACCCGAGUAGUCCCUGUCUCUUAUAA